AACGAACGCUGGCGGCAGGCCUAACACAUGCAAGUCGAGCGCGCCCUUCGGGGUGAGCGGCGGACGGGUGAGUAACGCGUGGGAACGUGCCCUUUUCUACGGCAUAGCCUCGGGAAACUGAGAGUAAUACCGUAUACGCCCUUUGGGGGAAAGAUUUAUCGGAAAAGGAUCGGCCCGCGUUGGAUUAGGUAGUUGGUGGGGUAAUGGCCUACCAAGCCGACGAUCCAUAGCUGGUUUGAGAGGAUGAUCAGCCACACUGGGACUGAGACACGGCCCAGACUCCUACGGGAGGCAGCAGUGGGGAAUCUUAGACAAUGGGGGCAACCCUGAUCUAGCCAUGCCGCGUGAGUGAUGAAGGCCUUAGGGUUGUAAAGCUCUUUCAGCUGGGAAGAUAAUGACGGUACCAGCAGAAGAAGCCCCGGCUAACUCCGUG
rnacentral:rRNA from 1 species